rnacentral:rRNA from 1 species
GACGAGCGCUGGCGGCGUGCUUAACACAUGCAAGUCGAACGGAAAGGCCCUGCUUUUGUGGGGUGCUCGAGUGGCGAACGGGUGAGUAACACGUGAGUAACCUGCCCUUGACUUUGGGAUAACUUCAGGAAACUGGGGCUAAUACCGGAUAGGAGCUCCUGCUGCAUGGUGGGGGUUGGAAAGUUUCGGCGGUUGGGGAUGGACUCGCGGCUUAUCAGCUUGUUGGUGGGGUAGUGGCUUACCCAGGCUUUGACGGGUAGCCGGCCUGGGAGGGUGACCGGGCACAGUGGGACUGAGAAGCGGGCCAGACUCCUACGGGAGGAAGCAGUGGGGAAUAUUGCGCGAUGGGCGGAAGCCGGAAGCAGCAACGCCGGGUGCGGGAUGACGGCCUUCGGGUUGUAAACCGCUUUCGCCUGUGACGAAGCGUGAGUGACGGUAAUGGGUAAAGAAGCACCGGCUAACUACGUG